rnacentral:rRNA from 1 species
GCAGCCGCGGUAAUACAUAGGGUGCAAGCGUUAUCCGGAUUUAUUGGGUGUAAAGGGUGCGUAGACGGAGAAGCAAGUUAGUUGUGAAAUCCCUCGGCUUAACUGAGGAACUGCAACUAAAACUACUUCCCUUGAGUGUCGGAGAGGAAAGUGGAAUUCCUAGUGUAGCGGUGAAAUGCGUAGAUAUUAGGAGGAACACCAGUGGCGAAGGCGACUUUCUGGACGAUAACUGACGUUGAGGCACGAAAGUGUGGGGAGCAAACAGGAUUAGAUACCCC